UACGGAGGGGGCUAGCGUUGUUCGGAAUUACUGGGCGUAAAGCGCGCGUAGGCGGACCUGCAAGUCGGGGGUGAAAGCCCGAGGCUCAACCUCGGAACUGCCUUCGAUACUGCGGGUCUCGAGUCCGGGAGAGGUGAGUGGAAUUCCUAGUGUAGAGGUGAAAUUCGUAGAUAUUCGGAAGAACACCAGUGGCGAAGGCGACUUACUGGACGAUUGUUGACGCUGAGGUGCGAAAGCGUGGGGAGCAAACAGG
rnacentral:rRNA from 1 species